UACGUAGGGGGCAAGCGUUAUCCGGAUUUACUGGGUGUAAAGGGAGCGCAGGCGGCGUGGCAAGUCAGAUGUGAAAACCCGGGGCCCAACCCCGGGAGUGCAUUUGAAACUGCCAUGCUGGAGUGCCGGAGAGGUAAGCGGAAUUCCUAGUGUAGCGGUGAAAUGCGUAGAUAUUAGGAGGAACACCAGUGGCGAAGGCGGCCUACUGGACGGUGACUGACGCUGAGGCACGAAAGCAUGGGUAGCCAAACAGGG
rnacentral:rRNA from 1 species